AGGAGAAUUUAAAUGGUAGGAAUUUAUAAUUAGAUAAAGGUAAGUAAGAAUUCUUUAUCAUGAAAGUAGAAAAUGUAUGGUUGUUGGGAAGGGAAAUGAAUACCAGUUUGUAAAUUAAGUAAAAAAGAGAAUGUUAUUUGCAGUUGAGUAAAAUGAGGGAGUGGGACAUUUGAUGUAAUUGACAAUUGGGAGCAAAAAGUAUUCACACUUCUAAGAUUCAAUUCUAAGAUUAGUGUAUCACGGAGGUGGGGUCCUAUUAAUAUUGAAGAUGAUAGCCGUGGUUUCCAUGUUAUUCAGGAGUAUCCAAGUCUCUGUGAGAAGAUGGAAGAUCAGAGGAAGAGAUAAGGAAACUGAGGCAAAUAAAGAUGAAAUGUCUUGCCUUUGGUCACACAGCUAUGAUGAGUCUAGUCUCUGGUUUGAACUCAAGUCUUCCUGACUCCAAGUGCCCGUCCUAUCUAUAGAAUCACUUAGAGGGAGAAAACACUCUCAUUUGAGCGGAGAAAUGAGUCAAAGUUGAAGCUUUGUGGAGAAGAUAGAACUUGGUAAGUCUUGAAGGCUUCAACAGGUAGAAAUGAUGGGGGGGAAAUGAAUGUCCACUGUCAACACAAAGAUUCUGAAAGAAAAGAUUUGGAAGAGGAUAAGAUAAGAAUGGAGAAAAAUCUACUUUGGGAAGAAUUAGAAAAACUUGGAGAAGAGUAAUACGAAAUAAGAUUGGAAAAGUUGAAGGAAGCCAAACAGUGGGGAAUACUAAACCCCAAACUUCCACAAGGUUUUGGCUGAACUGCAAAAAUCUUGAGAGCUGUAGUUCUAUAAUACUGGGCACAGAGGGAGCUAAUGUGAGGUCAGGAUUAGCACAGGAGUAAAGGUGAGUGAUUGGUUCACAUACAGUGGGAUUUUUGAGGAGUUAUUAGCAAACAAGAGAAGUUUGUCAUAUAUUCAGUCGGCAAUAGAAAGGCACUGAAGGUUUUUGAAUAGAU
rnacentral:lncRNA from 1 species